rnacentral:rRNA from 1 species
AGAAUCAACGCUGGCGGCGUGCCUAACACAUGCAAGUCGCACGAGAAAGGGGAGCAAUCCCUGAGUACAGUGGCGCACGGGUGAGUAACACGUGAAUCAUCUACCUCCGAGUGGGGAAUAACUGAGAGAAAUCUUAGCUAAUACCGCAUAACACUUACGAGUCAAAGCAGCAAUGCGCUUGGAGAGGAGUUCGCGGCAGAUUAGUUAGUUGGCAGGGUAAUGGCCCACCAAGACUGUGAUCGGUA